UACGUAGGGUGCAAGCGUUGUCCGGAAUUAUUGGGCGUAAAGGGCUCGUAGGCGGUCCAUCGCGUCGGGAGUGAAAAGCUGGGGCUCAACCCCAGUCCUGCUUCCGAUACGGGUGGACUAGAGGUAGGCAGGGGAGAACGGAAUUCCUGGUGUAGCGGUGAAAUGCGCAGAUAUCAGGAGGAGCACCGGUGGCGAAGGCGGCCUUCUGGACGGAUACUGACGCUGAGACGCGAAAGCGUGGGGAGCAAACAGG
rnacentral:rRNA from 1 species